UUGACCUCGGAUCAGGUAGGAAGACCCGCUGAACUUAAGCAUAUCAAUAAGCGGAGGAAAAGAAACCAACAGGGAUUGCCCUAGUAACGGCGAGUGAAGCGGCAACAGCUCAAAUUUGAAAUCUGGCUUCGGCCCGAGUUGUAAUUUGCAGAGGAAGCUUUAGGCGCGGCACCUCCUGAGUCCCCUGGAACGGGGCGCCACAGAGGGUGAGAGCCCCGUAUAGUUGGAUGCCUAGCCUGUGUAAAGCUCCUUCGACGAGUCGAGUAGUUUGGGAAUGCUGCUCAAAAUGGGAGGUAAAUUUCUUCUAAAGCUAAAUACCGGCCAGAGACCGAUAGCGCACAAGUAGAGUGAUCGAAAGAUGAAAAGCACUUUGAAAAGAGGGUUAAAUAGCACGUGAAAUUGUUGAAAGGGAAGCGCUUGUGACCAGACUUGCGCCGGGCUGAUCAUCCGGUGUUCUCACCGGUGCACUCUGCCCGGCUCAGGCCAGCAUCGGUUCUCGCGGGGGGAUAAAGGCCCUGGGAACGUAGCUCCUCCGGGAGUGUUAUAGCCCGGGGCGCAAUGCCCUCGCGGGGACCGAGGU
rnacentral:rRNA from 1 species